CGCGCAGGCGGCGGCAGAAGUUCUGGGUGAAAGCCCCCGGCUUAACCGGGAAGGUCCUGAAACCAUGCGGCUGGAGUGCUGGAGAGGCUAGCGGAAUUUCGGGUGUAGCGGUGAAAUGCGUAGAUAUCCGAAGGAACACCGGAGGCGAAGGCGGCUAGCUGGACAGACACUGACGCUGAGGCGCGAAAGCCAGGGGAGCAAACG
rnacentral:rRNA from 1 species